rnacentral:pre_miRNA from 1 species
GUUUUCGUAUAAGUAUCUCCCAUGCAAUAUUUGGGACAUACUUAUACGAAAA